ACACCUCAACUCUCAUGGCUUUGCCAUGAUGAGCUUGGAUUUUGGGGGUCUUUGCUGGCCUGUGGUCAGCUCCUCUCAAAUGAAUCAGCUUGCCAGUGUUUGGUGGCGUCACAGGUGUGAUAACUAUCUACGCUUGUGGCUUUCCACCGGAUAACCUUCAGUGAUGAAGGUUCGCUGGAGCUCAUAAAUGUCCUCUCCUUAGCGAGGACAGCCCUUUGAAC
rnacentral:misc_RNA from 1 species